rnacentral:misc_RNA from 1 species
AAGUCGUAACAAGGUAACCGUAGGUGAACCUGCGGUUGGAUCAUUACCAAAUCCAAAACCGUGCUUGCACGGAGGGCUUCCCGCCUCCCGUGCGAUGCACACCCACCCCUUGUGCAAUCCCAACCGUAUUUGGCGGGCGCCCCUCCCUGAUCACGUCUCUCCUCUCCUCCUCCUCCUCCCUCCCACUAGCCUGGGAAGGGGGAGUGGAGGGGGGCGGGGAUGUGAGUGCCCAGGGGGGUGAGCCUUGCGGGGGCCCCGUGCCCCUGACCGCCAAGCAAUUUUUCACAACCUAUUAUCCUGUGCCCUACAAUCAACUGACGUCAACUCGUGUGUGUGGGUGUGUGUGUGGGAGCCUUCGUGCCCCCCCUCCACUCCCUCGCGCAUUAGAGCUUAACGAAAAAACAACUUUUGACAACGGAUCUCUUGGCUCUC